rnacentral:lncRNA from 1 species
AUGGAAUUUAGAGUUUGUACUACCAUUUAUCUUGCAGACAAUGAGGUUGAUGGUGACACAGUUGACUGCGGUCUUACUGAGACUAUGGUUGCAUACCUUUUCCAAGGAUCCUUCAAAAAGCAGGUUAAAUUCAACCAAUUUGUGUCAAGGAUGAAGGAAUCUUCAGUGACGCUGACUCUACAGACUGUCUCUCCAGAAGACUGGCAACCAUCUACUUCGUCAACUUCAAUAAGGUAUCCCACAAAUUCUGAAUAUGUGCAAGCUGUGAAGACGCUGGUAAUGAAGUAUCCUUUCCUCAAGGAUCGUGAGGGAAAUGGUUAUGGACCAUGCGUCCAAGGAGAGGAUUUAUUAUCCAUAGACGCCCACUUAAAGGUCUUACAGUGCCAAUAUCAGAAGAUGCAACCAGAUACCAUGGUGGUUCAUAACCGUAUGCAGCAAACGUUUGCUUGGCGGCAAAAAGAAAUUGCAGAUGGUAUGCCUGUGGAGGAUGUGUUGAAGAAGUACCCCUUCUUAGGGAUGCCUACUGGUCUGUGCAACGAACUCGGGUGGAUCCAACCAACAACGGGUAAUGUAAGCCAGCGAUUUCGUGAAGGGCUCUCAUGUGUUGCAGCAAGGGUGAUUGAUCUUACACGAGGGAAAACCCCACUUUACCAGCUCUACCUUGAUGCAAGAGAGGAGGCUCUCACUGAUGACCUACCAGGUAUUUGCUUUUUUUUUUAA